rnacentral:rRNA from 1 species
GCGGCGUGCUUAACACAUGCAAGUCGAACGAGAAAGGGGCUUCGGCCCUGAGUAGAGUGGCGCACGGGUGAGUAACGCGUAAGUAACCUGCCCUUCUAUCUGGGAUAACAGUUCGAAAGGGCUGCUAAUACCGGAUAUUCUUGCCGGCCAUAAGGUUGGUAAGGAAAGGUGACCUCUUCUUGAAAGUUACCGUAGAGGGAGGGGCUUGCGUACCAUUAGCUAGUUGGUGGGGUAACGGCUUACCAAGGCGACGAUGGUUAGCGGGUUUGAGAGGAUGAUCCGCCACACUGGAACUGAAACACGGACCAGACUCCUACGGGAGGCAGCAGUGAGGAAUAUUGCGCAAUGGGGGCAACCCUGACGCAGCGACGCCGCGUGAGUGAAGAAGGCCUUCGGGUUGUAAAGCUCUGUCGGAAGGGAAGAACGGUUCAGGUGUUAAUACCAUCUGGAUUUGACGGUACCUUCAAAGGAAGCACCGGCUAACUCCGUGCCAGCAGCCGCGGUAAUACGGAGGGUGCGAGCGUUAAUCGGAAUUACUGGGCGUAAAGGGCGCGUAGGCGGCCCUGCAAGUCAGUUGUGAAAGCCCACGGCUCAACCGUGGAUGUGCAAUUGAAACUGCAGGGCUUGAGUACCGGCGGGGAAGAUGGAAUUCCCGGUGUAGAGGUGAAAUUCGUAGAUAUCGGGAGGAAUACCGGUGGCGAAGGCGAUCUUCUGGACGGAUACUGACGCUGAGGCGCGAAAGCGUGGGGAGCAAACAGGAUUAGAUACCCUGGUAGUCCACAGCUGUAAACGAUGUGCACUAGAUGUUGGGAGGAAUUGACCCUUUCAGUGUCGCAGCUAACGCAUUAAGUGCACCG